rnacentral:rRNA from 1 species
GACGUAGGGUGCGAGCGUUGUCCGGAUUUAUUGGGCGUAAAGAGCUCGUAGGCGGCUCGUCGCGUCAGCUGUGAAAACCCGCGGCUUAACCGUGGGCUUGCAGCUGAUACGGGCGGGCUAGAGUUCGGUAGGGGAGACUGGAAUUCCUGGUGUAGCGGUGAAAUGCGCAGAUAUCAGGAGGAACACCUGUGGUGUAGACGGCUUCUGGACCAUUGCUGACGCUGAGACACGAAGCGUGGGUAGCAAACAGG